GCCCAGGUAGCUCAGUUGGUAGAGCAGAGGACUGAAAAUCCUCGUGUCGGUGGUUCAAUUCCGCCCCUGGGCACCA
rnacentral:tRNA from 2 species